UAGUCCUCUAUUUAAACAAUACCAAGUUGUAGAUAUCUGGAAAAAUCACUUCCAUAUUCCCAUCCUCAUGUCAAUUAUCCUUCCAGAAACUAGUCUUGUUUCCAUCCAUCACUUUAACCUUUGAGUUGCUUUUAACUUCAUUCCACUAGUGUCUAAUAGAUCUAAUAGAUCUCUAGAGGCUAACCCCGUAGGUGUGUUCACAUCAUUAGUCAUCCAUCUAUAUUCUUUAGGAUAUUUAGCCCCAAUCACUUUCCUCCAUAGCUGCUGGUUAUUGUUUGCAUAUUUCCACAACCAUUUCAUCAUGAGAGCCUUACUUUGAAUUUUCAGGUUCUUUAUCCCCAACCCUCUAGUCUUCUUGUCAAUUGUCCACCACAGAGAGCACUGCCAUUUUUUCUCGCAUAUCUUUGUUCCUUAUUCUAUCUCUCCUAGUACGCCCACACACCAAUAUCAACAUCCUCAUUUCUGCUGCAUUUAUCUUUUGAAAAUGCGAGCUCCGGACCAGCCAAACACUCUGCCCCAUGCAAGCUAGCUAGUAUAACAACCAAUUUAUAAAUUUACCUUUGAGUUUAUUUUAACAAAAUUCUUAUACAUCGCAUGCUAGUUACUAGAUCUUUUGCAAGAGCUAAUUGGGAAAAAAAAUACAUGUUCAGAAAUUGAUUCAUCGAAAAAAAGCAUAACUGUAGUUUAUGAGUUUCAAACGUGUCCAAAUGGAAAAAAAAUUAUGGGGGGGCUGUGUUGAGUAUGGAACUUAGAACCUCAGUGCAGGAUUUAAACACCCUUACUGUCACACUCAGUCUUGUUUUUUGUGGCAAGGGUGUUCAUUAAAAAAUACUCAGAAAUGAUAGAAUUUGACCUAUAUAUAUACAUAUACAAAAUGUGAUUAUCUGGCGAAUGUUGUUCAGUUGAUCACCUUUGGAUAGCUAUAGCUCAGUCGCAUCUUGUCAAUGUUUCCACCCUGCUUGUAGUUAUAUUCUACACAGUACAUUCUAGUCCUUUUCCAUGUGGGACAUUAUGUCAUUCAUAUUCUAACACUUCCAUCCAGUAUUGUACUGCUGGAAGUUACUAAUUUCUACUCUCAGGGUACUAUUUAUGUUCUGUUUUUUGACUUGACCUACUUUCAUGCUAUUUUCAUUGGGACAGAGGGCAGACGCAUCAACUGACUGGAGAGAAUUUACAAGUCCUAAGAGAAGAAAGUUACUAGAACGUCUAAAUGGAGAAUGCCUGAUGAAGUCAAGGCCAUGAGAGCAGUAAUUAAUGACCGGAGAUAUGGAGCUCUAAAAUCCCUUUGUGAGCGGAAGCAAGCUUUUAAUGAGUAUUUGAGCCAAAAGAAAAAACUGGAAGCUGAAAAGAGGCGUGUUAAACAGAAAAAAGCUCGAGAACAUUUCAGGAUAAUGUGAGAAGAUUGCAAGGAGUUGUCACCAUCGUCAAGAUGGAGGCAAUCUCCAUAUUCGAACAUGAUGAAUGUUUUAAAGCUGUUGAGCAAGCUAAAGACCGUGAGGACCUUUUUGAAGAUUAUGUGGAGGAACUUGAGAAAAAGGAGCAUACAAAGGCAUUGGAGGAGCAGAAGCGCAAUAGAGUGGAGUACUUAGAAUUUUUAAAAUCCUGUGACUUUAUUAAGGCCAGUAGCUAGUGGCGGAAAGUUCAGGACCGCUUGGAAACUGAUGAAAGAUGCUCCCGCCUUGAGAAAAUCGCUUGGAGAUUUUCCAGGAAUACAUACGUGAUUUAGAGAGCGAAGAGGAGGAGCAAAGGAAACUGCGGAUGAUUAAAGAUUUUGCUGCAUAUCUAGUUGUCUCAUCAAAUACUUCAGGAUCAACAGCAAAAUACUUACAGAUGUUAUGGAUGAGCUGGAGAAACAGGUGAAAUAGAUUGCUAAUAGGAGUAUUGAAUUGUGUCAACUAUAUUUGUUACACUAAGCCAUAUUUAUAGACUUUACACUACAAUCCCUUUUCAUUUGCUUUCACUUAAUGAAGGUGUAAAUCUGAAUGGUUAAGAUAUCAUUCUAUUAAGUGUUUUUUUUA